rnacentral:rRNA from 1 species
AUACAGAGGGUGCAAGCGUUAAUCGGAUUUACUGGGCGUAAAGCGCGCGUAGGUGGCUAAUUAAGUCAAAUGUGAAAUCCCCGAGCUUAACUUGGGAAUUGCAUUCGAUACUGGUUAGCUAGAGUAUGGGAGAGGAUGGUAGAAUUCCAGGUGUAGCGGUGAAAUGCGUAGAGAUCUGGAGGAAUACCGAUGGCGAAGGCAGCCAUCUGGCCUAAUACUGACACCGAGGUGCGAAAGCAUGGGGAGCAAACAGGAUUAGAUACCCUGGUAGUCCAUGCCGUAAACGAUGUCUACUAGCCGUUGGGGCCCUUGAGGCUUUAGUGGCGCAGCUAACGCGAUAAGUAGACCGCCUGGGGAGUACGGUCGCAAGACUAAAACUCAAAUGAAUUGACGGGG